UCUCCGUAGGUGAACCUGCGGAGGGAUCAUUACAGAGUUCAGGCCUUACCGGGUAGAUCUCCCACCCUAUGUUAUGAUUACUUUGUUGCUUUAGCGUCCCGUUAGGCUCCGGCCCGACUACCGCCUUCGGCUAGUAAGCGUUCGUCAGAGAGCCCAAAACCCUAAAUAAUAGUGUCGACAGAUUACUAUAUAAGAGUUAAAACUUUCAACAACGGAUACCUUGGUUGUGGCAUCGAUGAACAAACCAGCAAAUCGGAAGAACGAAGGUCUGAACUGCAG
rnacentral:misc_RNA from 1 species